GCACCCUUGACUCACUCUGAGAUCUGCCAUCUUACUCCGUGGCUUAUUUCUAUUUUUGUUCAAGGAAGAGGAAUGAAGCCCAAUACUCACCGCGUAUACUAGCUUUAAGCUCCUGUGGAUAUAGCGGUCCAUCAUCACCGGCUACAU